AACCGCAUGGUUCAAAAGUGAAAGACGGUCUUGCUGUCACUUAUAGAUGGAUCCGCGCUGCAUUAGCUAGUUGGUAAGGUAACGGCUUACCAAGGCAACGAUGCAUAGCCGACCUGAGAGGGUGAUCGGCCACACUGGAACUGAGACACGGUCCAGACUCCUACGGGAGGCAGCAGUAGGGAAUCUUCCGCAAUGGGCGAAAGCCUGACGGAGCAACGCCGCGUGAGUGAUGAAGGUCUUCGGAUCGUAAAACUCUGUUAUUAGGGAAGAACAUAUGUGUAAGUAACUGUGCACAUCUUGACGGUACCUAAUCAGAAAGCCACGGCUAACUACGUGCCAGCAGCCGCGGUAAUACGUAGGUGGCAAGCGUUAUCCGGAAUUAUUGGGCGUAAAGCGCGCGUAGGCGGUUUUUUAAGUCUGAUGUGAAAGCCCACGGCUCAACCGUGGAGGGUCAUUGGAAACUGGAAAACUUGAGUGCAGAAGAGGAAAGUGGAAUUCCAUGUGUAGCGGUGAAAUGCGCAGAGAUAUGGAGGAACACCAGUGGCGAAGGCGACUUUCUGGUCUGUAACUGACGCUGAUGUGCGAAAG
rnacentral:rRNA from 1 species